rnacentral:rRNA from 11 species
AAAAGCGUAGUCGAUGGAAAACAGGUUAAUAUUCCUGUACUUGAAUAUGCUGCGAUGGGGUGACGGAGUAGGCUAUACCAGACGGGCGUUGGUUGUCCCGAUCUAAGUGUGUAGGCUUAGAGCUUAGGUAAAUCCGGGCUCUUUUAAGGCUGAGACACGAUGGCGACGCUCUCUUUUGAGCGGAGUGGUAGAUGCCAUGCUUCCAAGAAAAACCUCUAAGCUUCAGGCAUAUUUGAACCGUACCCCAAACCAACACAGGUGGUCAGGUAGAGAAUACUAAGGCGCUUGAGACAACUCUGGUGAAGGAACUAGGCAAAAUAGCACCGUAACUUCGGGAGAAGGUGCGCCGGUGAGGGUGAAGGACUUGCUCCGUAAGCUCAUGCCGGUCGAAGAUACCAGGCCGCUGCGACUGUUUAUUAAAAACACAGCACUCUGCAAA